GGAUGUGAGGGCGAUCUGGCUGCGACAUCUGUCACCCCAUUGAUCGCCAGGGUUGAUUCGGCUGAUCUGGCUGGCUAGGCGGGUGUCCCCUUCCUCCCUCACCGAUCCAUGUGCGUCCCUCCCGAAGCUGCGCACUCGGUCGAAGAGGACGACCUUCCCCCCUGAGGAGAGGACCGGUCUUCGGUCAAGGGUAUACGAGUAGCUGCGCUCCCCUGCUAGAACCUCCAAACAAGAAAUACCAAUGAUGAGAGAGUCAUUGAUCAGCUGCCU
rnacentral:snRNA from 1 species